rnacentral:misc_RNA from 1 species
GGAUGCGAUCAUACCAGCACUAAAGCACCGGAUCCCAUCAGAACUCCGAAGUUAAGCGUGCUUGGGCGAGAGUAGUACUAGGAUGGGUGACCUCCUGGGAAGUCCUCGUGUUGCGUCCCUCCUUUUUGCCGUCCACCGCCGCGCGUUUCCGUGCUGCGUACCUAUCUAAACCGUUAUAGGCGUCAUCCCUCCUUCUCCGUCGUCCGCCGCCGCGCGUUUCCUUUUGCUGCGCACGAACGCUAUCAAAACCGUUGUAGGUGUCGGUUGUAACGUAAAGAGCCGAGUGGCUGCGCCUACGUCGGCCCCGCGUCUCUCUCGCCGCACGCUACCCCUCCCUGCGGGGCGGGCGGCGAAUUCUGAUUUCGCCAGACCCGCCGAAGGUGGGGGGAAACGGAUGUAAAAUUUUUUUCUCUUAUCCGAAAAGUUAAAUUUCGCCUGAUUCUGAGUCCGUAUGCAAAAGUUAUGGCCGUUUGAAGUUGGGGCUUCCGACUAGGUUUUCCAGAUGGGAUAUAACCUAAUCGGUUUCGGCGGUGGAGAUGGAUAUGGUGGCAGCGGAGCACAAGAGGGGCGGGGGCGCAAGGCAUGUC